UACAGAGGUCUCAAGCGUUGUUCGGAUUCAUUGAGCGUAAAGGGUGCGUAGGUGGCGGGGUUAGUCAGGUGUGAAAUCUCGAGGCUCAACCUUGAAACUGCACUUGAUACUGCCUUGCUUGAGUACUGGAGAGGAGAUUGGAAUUUACGGUGUAGCAAGUGAAAUGCGUAGAUAUCGUAAGGAAGACCAGUGGCGAAGGCGAAUCUCUGGACAGUUACUGACACUGAGGCACGAAGGCCAGGGGAGCAAACGGG
rnacentral:rRNA from 1 species